AUGCCAUGAUGUGGGCAUUCCUUUAGUAGUUGCUUGUACUUCUCCCAAGCAUCAGGUUCUGCUUUAUCAUUCAUUUGUCUAAAGAGACAAAUUUCAUUUCUAAACUU